rnacentral:rRNA from 1 species
AUUGAACGCUGGCGGCAGGCCUAACACAUGCAAGUCGAACGAGUGGCGGACGGGUGAGUAAUGUCUGGGAAACUGCCCGAUGGAGGGGGAUAACUACUGGAAACGGUAGCUAAUACCGCAUACCAUCGGAUGUGCCCAGUUGGGAUUAGCUAGUAGGUGGGGUAACGGCUCACCUAGGCGACGAUCCCUAGCUGGGCUGAAAGGCUGCCCAUCCACACUGAACCUGAGACACGCGCCAGACUCCUACGGGAGGGAGCAGUGGGGAAUAGUGAACAAUGGGAGCAAGCCUGAUGAAGCCAUGCGGCGUGUAUGAAGAAGGCCUUCGGGUUGUAAAGUACUUUCAGCGAGGAGGCGUUACUCGCAGAAGAAGCACCGGCUAACUCCGUGACAGCAGCCGCGGUAAUAC